AGGAAAAGAAACUAACAAGGAUUCCCCUAGUAACGGCGAGUGAAGAGGGAAGAGCCCAAGUUUGAAAGCUGGCGUCUUCGGCGUCCGCAUUGUAAACUCGAGAAGCGUUUUCCGCGCCGGACCAAGCUCAAGUCCCUUGGAAUAGGGCAUCAUAGAGGGUGAGAGUCCCGUACUUGGCUUGGAGUCCCCGGGGCUUUGUGAUACGCUCUCCAAGAGUCGAGUUGUUUGGGAAUGCAGCUCAAAAUGGGUGGUAAAUGCCAUCUAAGGCUAAAUAUCGAGGAGAGACCGAUAGCGAACAAGUACCGUGAGGGAAAGAUGAAAAGAACUUUGGAAAGAGAGUUAAACAGUACGUGAAAUUGCCGGAAGGGAAGGGUAGGGAGUCAGAUAUGCUGUGCGGAUUCAGCCUUGUCUUUGGACUUGGUGUAUUUUCGUAUUGGCAGGCCAGCAUCGGUUUGUGCCGCUGGAUAUAGGCUUGGGGAAUGUGGCUUUGUCUUCGGUCAAAGUGUUAUAGCCCCUUGCUGAGUACAGCGGCAUGGACCGAGGCACGCAGCGCACCCUCUGGGCGGGCCCUCGGGCACCUUUGCGCUUAGGAUGCUGGCUUAAUGGCUCUCUGCCACCCGUCUUGAACCACGGACC
rnacentral:rRNA from 1 species